rnacentral:rRNA from 1 species
CCUACGGGGGGCAGCAGUAGGGAAUCUUCCACAAUGGUCGAAAGCCUGAUGGAGCAACGCCGCGUGGGUGAAGAAGGUCUUCGGAUCGUAAAACCCUGUUGUUAAGGAAGCAAGUGCGUGAGAGUAACUGUUCACGUUUCGACGGUAUCUAACCAGAAAGCCACGGCUAACUACGUGACAGCAGCCGCGGUGAUAAGUAGGUGGCAAGCGUUAUCCGGAUUGGUUGGGCGUAAAGGGAACGCAGGCGGUCUUUUAAGUCUGAUGUGAAAGCCCUCGGCUUAACCGGAGUAGUGCCGUUGAAACUGGGAGACUUGAGUGCAGAAGAGGAGAGUGGAACUCCAGGUGUAGCGGUGAAAUGCGUAGAUAUAUGGAAGAACACCAGUGGCGAAAGCGGCUCUCUGGUCUGUCACUGACGCUGAGGUUCGAAAGCGUGGGUAGCAAACAGGAUUAGAUACCCCAGUAGUC